rnacentral:rRNA from 1 species
GACGAACGCUGGCGGCGUGCCUAAUACAUGCAAGUCGAACGCUUCUUUCCUCCCGAGUGCUUGCACUCAACUUGAAAGAGGAGUGGCGGACGGUUGAGUAACACUUGCGUAACCUACCCAUCAGUGGUGGAUAACACUUGGAAACAGGUGCUAAUACCGCAUAACAGUUUAUGCCGCAUGGCAUAAGAGUGAAAGGCGCUUUCGGGUCUCGCUGAUGGAUGGACCCGCGGUUCAUUAGCUAGUUGGUGAGGUAACGGCACACCAUGGCCACGAUGCAUAGACGCUCUCAGGGCGAGGUCCGACACACGGGGACUGAGGAACAGCCGAGACUCCUGCAGGGAGCAGCAGUAGGGAAUCUUAGGCGAGGGAGGAGUGGCGAACCGAGCAACGCCGCGUGAGUGAAGAAGGAGUUCGGAUCGUAAAACUCUGUUGUUAGAGGAGAAGAAGGACGUUAGUAACUGAGCGGACACUGACAGUAUCUAAACAGAAAGCCACGGCUAACUCCGUG